rnacentral:rRNA from 1 species
AUACGUAGGGUGCAAGCGUUAAUCGGAAUUACUGGGCGUAAAGCGUGCGCAGGCGGUUUUGUAAGACAGAGGUGAAAUCCCCGGGCUCAACCUGGGAACUGCCUUUGUGACUGCAGGGCUAGAGUACGGCAGAGGGGGAUGGAAUUCCGCGUGUAGCCGUGAAAUGCGUAGAUAUGCGGAGGAACACCGAUGGCGAAGGCAAUCCCCUGGGCCUGUACUGACGCUCAUGCACGAAAGCGUGGGGAGCAAACAGGAUUAGAUACCCUGGUAGUCCACGCCCUAAACGAUGUCAACUGGUUGUUGGGUCUUCAUUGACUCAGUAACGAAGCUAACGCGUGAAGUUGACCGCCUGGGGAGUACGGCCGCAAGGUUGAAACUUAAAGGAAUUGACGGGG